rnacentral:rRNA from 1 species
CAGUCGCCGCGGUAAUACGAAGGGGGCUAGCGUUGCUCGGAAUCACUGGGCGUAAAGGGUGCGUAGGCGGGUCUUUAAGUCAGGGGUGAAAUCCUGGAGCUCAACUCCAGAACUGCCUUUGAUACUGAAGAUCUUGAGUUCGGGAGAGGUGAGUGGAACUGCGAGUGUAGAGGUGAAAUUCGUAGAUAUUCGCAAGAACACCAGUGGCGAAGGCGGCUCACUGGCCCGAUACUGACGCUGAGGCACGAAAGCGUGGGGAGCAAACAGGAUUAGAUACCCCCGUAGUCCCUGUCUCUUAUAU